GGAAGAACCAAAAAAUGGCUUUUGGAGCAGGCUGUUUCCAUUCUCCUUUCUUGUGCAUACCUGAAGUAAGAUUUGAUUGUGACGCCAUCAUGAUUCUGAAGGCAGUGUACAGGAAAGUGCCAUAUAGAACCAAGAAAGACAAGCAGGCUUAGUCUCAGGAUGCUAGCAGGAGAGCCAGAGGAAAAGUGGAACAAAUCAAGCAAGACCUCUUAAUGGUCAUGAAGUUGGAUUGAGGACAAUUACACACUCAUCUGUGGCCAUCAUGAUGAAUCUGCUGCACAUUCAGCACAG